GUAGCUUCUCUGUUUUUUGGCUAAGAUCAAGUGUAGUGGCGGUACUUAUCAUUUUAAUAUCUGAUACGUCCCCUAUCUGGGGCCCAUGUAUUAAAUGGAUUUUUGUAACAAGAAGAUUAAUGAAGAGCUUGCUCUGCUCACUGUGUGAAGCAGUUUUUUACUGUAUGAAGUGCAGCAGCACAAAUGAAC